CAGAACAGUUUCAUUUGAAAAAGAGCAAUUUUAGGCAAUUCACAUUUAACUGUCAUAAAAACACUAGAUUUUCUUUUAACUUAUGACACUAUAAAUAGAAAAUUAAUCAAAACAACAUUUAUCCACCUUAUUCUGCAUAUUUACCAAAACCAAUUCUAUAAAUUUUGUUUAAUUUCUCUUUUGAAUAAGACCGAAUUUGAACAUAUUACAUAUAAUGAUGGUGGGGAAUGAAUACAAUCCUUUUUAACAGUGUUUUCUUUUUAAAAACUGAAGAAUCUGAUUAUGCAGGCAUGAACAAAUUGUUUGCCCCAACUCUGAACUAUGAAAAUGUCAAUGUCUAAGGCUUCAUAAUAUUUGAGAUUCUUACUAACAUGUUAUUUCAAGGAAGAAGAAUUUGAGGUAGCCUACCUCUUCCAUCUCAUCUACAAAGUUUGGUAAUACUGGAAAAGUCUGUAUCGAUUGAUUGCCCACAGAUUUUUGUCCAUGAACUCCAAGAGGAAAAGAAAAUAUGAAAAUUUAUAGAAAGAUAACUUGAAGUUAUGGAGAAGAAAAUACCAUGAGUUCUUCAAAGCAAAUGGAUAAUGCAAUACAAUCAGCAUGGGCAACACUAACCCG